GACGAACGCUGGCGGCGUGCCUAAUACAUGCAAGUCGAACGCAGUGGGGACGGGGGAGUAACACGUGGGUAACCUCCCAUCAGAGGGGAUAACACUUGGAAACAGGUGCUAAAACGAUACUGAUGGAUGGACCCGCGGGGCAUUAGCUAGUUGGUGAGGUACCGGCUCACCAAGGCCACGAUGCAUGUCUGUCCUGAGAGGGUGAUCGGCCACACUGGGAAUGAGACACGGCCCAGACUCCGACGUGAGGCAGCAGUAGGGAAUCUGCGGCAAUGGACUAAAGUCUGACCGAGCAACGCCGCGUGAGUUAAGAAGGUUUUCGGAUCGUAAACCUCUGUUGUUAGAGAAGCGGUAUCUAACCAGAAAGCCACGGCUAACUACGUGCCAGCAGCCGCGGUAAUAC
rnacentral:rRNA from 1 species